AUUGAACGCUGGCGGCAUGCCUUACACAUGCAAGUCGAACGGCAGCACGGGAGCAAUCCUGGUGGCGAGUGGCGAACGGGUGAGUAAUAUAUCGGAACGUGCCAGUCGUGGGGAUAACGUAGCGAAAGCUACGCUAAUACCGCAUACGAUCUAUGGAUGAAAGCGGGGGAUCGCAAGACCUCGCGCGAUUGGAGCGGCCGAUAUCAGAUUAGGUAGUUGGUGAGGUAAAGGCUCACCAAGCCGACGAUCUGUAGCUGGUCUGAGAGGACGACAGCCACACUGGGACUGAGACACGGCCAGACUCCUACGGGAGGCAGCAGUGGGGAAUUUUGGACAAUGGGCGCAAGCCUGAUCCAGCAAUGCCGCGUGCAGGAUGAAGGCU
rnacentral:rRNA from 1 species